ACCUAAUCGAGCACCAGGGUUUACUUGUGAAAUGACAUGGUCAGUUUUGUGGAGGCACACGACCACAAUGUUAGAUCUGUGGCAAAAUCAACCAUCUUGCUAAUAGGUUCUUUACCUUCUGUCGGUGCUUCAAAUAUAGUACAAGAAGAUGUUGCCUUAGUAUCAUCCACUCUAUCUGUUCUCUUUGAACUGACGUGGUAUCCUGACAGUUGGGCUACGACACAUAUGCUGAGUGUAGCUCGUAUAAUGGAUCAAGUAAAGUGGUUAUAGGACACGGAAGCACGACAGAUAUUUCUUCAAGGUGUUAAGUUCAAUGAGCUAUAUCAUUUCUUUCCUGCCACCACCGAGUCCAAGUUUGCAUUGAUUGAUACACAUACGACUGCUGAUGAAUUGUUCCAGACAUCAGAUUCACAUGUCAAGUUCAACCACUGGCAUAAAAAGGCUUGGUCAUCCUUCUUUUAAUGUUAUGAAUCAAAUGCUAAAUUCUUGUAAUAUUUGAAUUCCUAGAUAUAAGUCUUAUUCACUGUGUAAAGCUUAUGAGCUUGGUAAA